rnacentral:rRNA from 1 species
GACGAACGCUGGCGGCGUGCUUAACACAUGCAAGUCGAACGGAAAGGCCCUGCUUUUGUGGGGUGCUCGAGUGGCGAACGGGUGAGUAACACGUGAGUAACCUGCCCUUGACUUUGGGAUAACUUCAGGGAACUGGGGCUAAUACCAGAUAGGAGCUCCUGCUGCAUGGUGGGGGUUGGAAAGUUUCGGCGGUUGGGGAUGGACUCGCGGCUUAUCAGCUUGUUGGUGGGGUAGUGGCUUACCAAGGCUUUGACGGGUAGCCGGCCUGAGAGGGUGACCGGCCACAUUGGGACUGAGAUACGGCCCAGACUCCUACGGGAGGCAGCAGUGGGGAAUAUUGCACAAUGGGCGGAAGCCUGAUGCAGCAACGCCGCGUGCGGGAUGACGGCCUUCGGGUUGUAAACCGCUUUCGCCUGUGACGAAGCGUGAGUGACGGUAAUGGGUAAAGAAGCACCGGCUAACUACGUGCCAGCAGCCGCGGUGAUACGUAGGGUGCGAGCGUUGUCCGGAUUUAUUGGGCGUAAAGGGCUCGUAGGUGGUUGAUCGCGUCGGAAGUGUAAUCUUGGGGCUUAACCCUGAGCGUGCUUUCGAUACGGGUUGACUUGAGGAAGGUAGGGGAGAAUGGAAUUCCUGGUGGAGCGGUGGAAUGCGCAGAUAUCAGGAGGAACACCAGUGGCGAAGGCGGUUCUCUGGGCCUUUCCUGACGCUGAGGAGCGAAAGCGUGGGGAGCGAACAGGCUUAGAUACCCUGGUAGUCCACGCUGUAAACGGUGGGUACUAGGUGUGGGGUCCAUUCCACGGGUUCCGUGCCGUAGCUAACGCUUUAAGUACCCCGCCUGGGGAGUACGGCCGCAAGGCUAAAACUCAAAGGAAUUGACGGGGCCCCGCACAAGCGGCGGAGCAUGCGGAUUAAUUCGAUGCAACGCGUAGAACCUUACCUGGGUUUGACAUGGAUCGGGAGUGCUCAGAGAUGGGUGUGCCUCUUUUGGGGUCGGUUCACAGGUGGUGCAUGGCUGUCGUCAGCUCGUGUCGUGAGAUGUUGGGUUAAGUCCCGCAACGAGCGCAACCCUUGUUCACUGUUGCCAGCACGUUAUGGUGGGGACUCAGUGGAGACCGCCGGGGUCAACUCGGAGGAAGGUGGGGAUGACGUCAAGUCAUCAUGCCCCUUAUGUCCAGGGCUUCACGCAUGCUACAAUGGCUGGUACAGAGAGUGGCGAGCCUGUGAGGGUGAGCGAAUCUCGGAAAGCCGGUCUCAGUUCGGAUUGGGGUCUGCAACUCGACCUCAUGAAGUCGGAGUCGCUAGUAAUCGCAGAUCAGCAACGCUGCGGUGAAUACGUUCCCGGGGCU